UAUGUCUCGUUCUCUUCUAAGCCCACCCUCGACAGUACAAUAUUUUUGUAUAGUUCACUCUGUUUUGGGUCUGUUCUAGAAGAACGCUUUCUUAGCAUUUACGUAGUUUGCAUUGCUCUCCAGGCGGUUCCUGAAAGGGCCAAACUUUAUGCCAUGGUUUCAGAGAAGGCGUGAUGUUGCAGAACAAGAACAACAUAGGCUAUGGAGGGAAGCAAGGAUGACUACGGA
rnacentral:lncRNA from 1 species